rnacentral:rRNA from 1 species
CUACGGGAGGCAGCAGUAAGGAAUAUUGGGCAAUGGGCGAAAGCCUGACCCAGCAACGCCGCGUGGGUGAAGAAGGUUUUCGGAUCGUAAAACCCUUUUCUGUGUGACGAGUAAGGACGGUAGCACAGGAAUAAGUCUCGGCUAACUACGUGCCAGCAGCCGCGGUAAAACGUAGGAGACAAACGUUAUCCGGAGUUACUGGGCGUAAAGGGCGUGCAGGCGGCAGUCUAAGUCUGGCGUGAAAUAACCCGGCUCAACCGGGUGAGGUCGUCGGAUACUGGGCAGCUAGAGGGCGGUAGAGGCGUGUGGAAUUCCGGGUGUAGUGGUGAAAUGCGUAGAGAUCCGGAGGAACACCAGUGGCGAAGGCGACACGCUGGGCCGCACCUGACGCUAAGACGCGACAGCAUGGGGAGCGAACAGGAUUAGAAACCCUAGUAGUCC